rnacentral:rRNA from 1 species
CCUACGGGAGGCAGCAGUGGGGAAUAUUGCACAAUGGGCGAAAGCCUGAUGCAGCGACGCCGCGUGAGUGAGGAAGUAUUUCGGUAUGUAAAGCUCUAUCAGCAGGGAAGAAAGAAAUGACGGUACCUGAGUAAGAAGCUCCGGCUAAAUACGUGCCAGCAGCCGCGGUAAUACGUAUGGAGCAAGCGUUAUCCGGAUUUACUGGGUGUAAAGGGAGCGUAGGCGGCAGAGCAAGUCUGAUGUGAAAGCCCGGGGCUCAACCCCGGUAGUGCAUUGGAAACUGUUCAGCUCGAGUGUCGGAGGGGUAAGCGGAAUUCCUGGUGUAGCGGUGAAAUGCGUAGAUAUCAGGAAGAACACCGGAGGCGAAGGCGGCUUACUGGACGAUUACUGACGCUGAGGCUCGAAAGCGUGGGGAGCGAACAGGAUUAGAUACCCUGGUAGUC